AUUGAACGCUGGCGGCAGGCUUAACACAUGCAAGCCGAGCGGGGAAGGGUAGCUUGCUACCUAACCUAGCGGCGGACGGGUGAGUAAUGCUUAGGAAUCUGCCAUUUAGUGGGGGACAACAUUCCGAAAGGAAUGCUAAUACCGCAUACGUCCUACGGGAGAAAGCAGGGGAUCUUCGGACCUUGCGCUAAAUGAUGAGCCUAAGUCGGAUUAGCUAGUUGGUGGGGUAAAGGCCUACCAAGGCGACGAGCUGUAGCGGGUCUGAGAGGAUGAUCCGCCACACUGGGACUGGGACACGGCCCGGACUCCUACGGGAGGCAGCAGUGGGGAAUAUUGGACAAUGGGCGGAAGCCUGAUCCAGCCAUGCCGCGUGUGUGAAGAAGGCCUUAUGGUUGUAAAGCACUUUAGGCGAGGAGGAGGCUACUUAGAUUAAUACUCUAGGAUAGUGGACGUUACUCGCAGAAUAAGCACCGGCUAACUCUGUGCCAGCCGCCGCUGUAA
rnacentral:rRNA from 1 species